CUUUCAGCCCAACUGUACGUCUGUACUUACCAAGCAGCCGAGCAGGAGGAAAACGAACUAGGCUUGGAGCCCUGCGACUGCGAGCAACCGGGAACCGAGGGAGUCGUGUCUGUGCGAGUGUGCCAUGGCGGGCGAGGGGUCAGAGUCAGACCCUGCCUGCCUCCCCGGUGCCGCCGCCGUCGAAGCGGAGAAAGAUCGAGCCGCCCAGGAGGUUUCGGUGGGUCGAUCUCGACAAAAGCUAGAGAGGCAAAGAGAUAUCCGCCGUCCUUCAAGCGCAGCGUGAGGGAGAUGCCUUGGAAGCUACAAAAGCUUCGGUUCCCUCUUUGGGAAGAAUCACCUUGUUCCUGUCAUCCCAACGAACGACUGACGAACAAGGCUGUGAAUACCGACCAGGAUGACCCUUGCAGUUUCCUUUAAGAGCGCGACCUGAUACCGCAUACUAAGCUAUGGACAUUAACAUUACAUUGAUCGUAAGGUGACAGCACGAAGUUACUGUCAGCUCAGAAGUCAAGUAAUUACUACCAACCUGUACGUAUGCCGCCCCCAACUUGCAGGAUCUCGACAGCGACAAAAGGUACAGAUUUUCCUGCACAUUUGCAGAUCUAAGAUCUAAGCGGUGAAAAAGCUUUGCAUGGUGGCGAGCAUAUGUUGGUGUGUGUUAGCUUUCUUUCUUUCUUUUUUUUUUCUAGUGGGAAUUCGUAUCCGGUCCUUGCUACCACCCCACCCGACGUCGGAGGAAUGCACAUCUGGAUUCAAUCAUUUUUAUUCUCGUUACCAAAACCUCCUUUUUCAGUUAUCGAUGGAGGGGUUUUCAUACCUUUUUGCCUUAAACAGCUAAUGCAACAAAUAACAAACAAAAAACGUUCU